rnacentral:rRNA from 1 species
AGCAGUAGGGAAUCUUCCACAAUGGACGAAAGUCUGAUGGAGCAACGCCGCGUGAGUGAAGAAGGUUUUCGGGUCGUAAAACUCUGUUGUUGGAGAAGAAUGUAUCUGAUAGUAACCGAUCAGGUAGUGACGGUAUCCAACCAGAAAGCCACGGCUAACUACGUGCCAGCAGCCGCGGUAAUACGUAGGUGGCAAGCGUUGUCCGGAUUUAUUGGGCGUAAAGCGAGCGCAGGCGGUUUCUUAAGUCUGAUGUGAAAGCCUUCGGCUCAACCGAAGAAGUGCAUCGGAAACUGGGAAACUUGAGUGCAGAAGAGGACAGUGGAACUCCAUGUGUAGCGGUGGAAUA